UUUUUUUCAAAAUUCCGGAAUUUAAGUGGCUGAGGAAUGUGUUUGCAUUAAUCAAAUUGGGUUUGCAUUAACUGUUCAACGGCCUCUUCUCUUUGCGACUCCCUGUCUCGGACCAGAGAGAAAAUUCAUCGACAACAUCAUGUUUCGAUUAGGAAACAUGGUUUGUCUUAAGGAUGUGACCUACUGUUGUUUCAGUCAAUCGAGGACGGGAAGAUUAGCGUAACAGGAGUUGCCUGAGGCUGUGGCCACGACGGCGGUGGGAGCCGCUAGCGGAGGUUCGUCUUUGUGUAUGGCUACUGACAGCUAUUCUCAAGAUAACGUGGUCUCCUUUUGAUGACGUGGCAAUCCUGUCGACGUGUCAACCAUACGAUGAUGUCUUCUAUUGGAUGAACUGUUAGUAAGUUUCUGACGUGUCAUUAGCUGCCGCGAUGUGUCCUUGAUUGACUCGGUAAUUUUCUCCCACGUGGGCCAUUGUUGCUCACGUGGCUUAGUUGCUCCUACGUGGCAUUAUCUUGCUGGCGUGGAUAAAGGAAAUGCGACGUGGUAAACCAGAUGGCUUCCAAGAAGACAUGUUACGAGAUUAGGUUGUUCCGCGUGUUCCUUAUUGCUUACGUGCCACAUGGUGACUUGGCAAUGUCUAUUGAUGAAGCCGCGCAACUUGGAUCUUUGCACAAGUGUUUGUAUGAUGAACCGAAGCCGAGAUGAUAACAGGUUAAAGGCAAGGUGAUUUCUUCUCGGAAAUCCGAUAUAUUCCCUUUAAGCUCUGCAUAAUCUGUGUCAAUUCCCAGUCUUUCUUUGAGGGCUAUAUUGGACAACAGACACCAAAAAUAACAUUGAGACGUGGAGAGAGAGAGGCAGGGAACAUUACAAGCUUGAGUUGAGCUGGAUUGAACUCCAUCCACCUGCCUCACGCAUUGCACAUAUGAGUUUUCUUCUUUGAACAUUGGGCAGGAAGAUCUGGAACCCUGUUUCUGAUGUGCUCUUUGGCCAAGAAAUGUGCAGGUUUUCUUCUUUUCACUUUUUUGAACUGCUGUUGGUUUUCUUUUGUUUAGGACAAAAGCACAGAGUCAUAGCCUAGAAUAGUCUGGUACUUUAUCCACUUGGUGAUCACCGUUUUUUGUAUUAAGAUAAUUUUAGUAAUGGAUUGGAUCCAAAUCCUAAGCUUAAUGUACAACGAGAUUGAAUAGAUUGGCUUACAACCAAGAGGGGGCUAGAUAGCUGAAUUGUGUAAUGUCAAAACAAGAUAAGUUGGUCCAGAGUCUCUUGAUACAGUUUGGAAGCCCAACUUUGUCUACCCUAGCAAGUGCCAAGUCUAUUUAUCCCCUCCAUGUUUACCCAUUUUGCAUCAGCGUGGCAACCAAAUCACCUUUAUGUUAUGGCUAAUUUAUUACACUUCAUCUUAUUUAGUAUGUAAAGAAGCAAGCAAGCCUAUCUUUAUUUUUUCUGAUUUCAAAAUGAAGAUAAUUAUCAAGAACACUUGCUAAAAAUGACCUAAUAGUUUUAUCAUCCACCUACCAAUAACCAUGCUAUAACUAACUAGGACAUAGUGCAGUAAACUGUAUAUUUUGGAUGACGCUUGUUGAACCAUAUAGUGACAACAUAAUCAAGCUUCAAAAAAUCGAAAAGAAAAAAUAAAAUAGAUAAGAGUAAACUUGAUCAUCGAUUUGGUAAGUGAGUCUUCUAUCCUUAUUAUUAGUCAUGAUUUUAUUUAGAGACUGGUCAGCAUGUAGAAAGAUUUUGCUUUAAUCUUCUAGUGGCAAUGAAUAUGACUUUAUCUGAACCAGAAACUAAUUUAAUUUAAUCUAAUUCAUGUAAUUACUUAAAAUAUCACUAAUAAUAAUACGAAAAACAAAUUAAAAGAAAGAACUAAAAUUUUCACAUAUUUUCUGUUAUUCUUUUUCAUUUAAUUUUCAUCUUUAUCGAUAAUUACUCUAUAUGGUGGCCACUUUGAAGCACGCCUAUAAAUGGCCUUCCAAUAACGUUAAAAAAAUGUGAUUACUCCACUACAUCAUUGUGUUUUUAUUUCCGCCUUUUUUAGUCCUACCUAUCCCACUCUCUAAUCAUGAUUAAGAUAAAAAGUUCCUGUAUAAAUUUGGUUCCUUGGAGUAAUGUUCAUUAUCAGUUUUUUGCUUUAAACGAGGAAGAUAAGGUUAAGGUAUGUAGAGAAGCAUUACUUAGUCAAUUCAAUUUCAAGUGCAUUCAUAAAUUGCUUUUUUAAUCUUAUAACUUUAAGUGCUUGCAUGCAGAACUAGUUAUUGGUUGAAAAGUACAGGAUGAUAAUGAAGGUGAUUACAAUUCUACUUAUUCUUGGAUUGGCAUUAUUGUUGCAUCUUCAAGUUGAAGCUAGAAGGCUAGAUUUAGAGCAAGUCAAAAAUGAAAGAACUGAUAAUCAGGUCCAGUCCAAUGAGCCAGGUGCGGUUAACAACGCUGCUACUGCUGUUGAUAAUGAUAUUAAGCCAAAUGAUGAACAUGGAAAAUCAAAUACAGACAGAAAUCCAGUGACAGGUUCACUGCCGACAGUUGAUCCUAAGACUAACAAUAACGACAAUAGCAACACUACUAGUGAUGAUAAUGAACCAAACAGCAACUAUGGGAAUUAUAGGAACCCAUCUGGAUCAUCAAUAGAGACUCAUCAUGUUUAUUCGAAUGAUUGCAAUCCAAAGAAGGUUUGUUAAUUGAUUCUGAUCAGCAGCAGUGUAAAUAUGUAGCGUGAAAAAUUGGUCGUUAAGUGCAACUUAGAAGUGUAUUCCACACUGUUAGGAAAUUUUAUGGUAUUGAACUAGAACUUAUGUAGUUAUGUUCCUCUUGUUAUUUGAUGAUACUUUUGUCAUGGUUGUAUGGCUUCUUUGCGCUUAA